rnacentral:rRNA from 1 species
AAUGAACGCUGGCAGCAGGCCUAACACAUGCAAGUCGUACGGACCCUUCGGGGUUAGUGGCGGACGGGUGAGUAACGCGUGGGAACGUGCCCUUUGGUUCGGAAUAGCCUCGGGAAACUGGGAGUAAUACCGGAUAAGCCCUUCGGGGGAAAGAUUUAUCGCCAAAGGAUCGGCCCGCGUUGGAUUAGGUAGUUGGUGGGGUAAUGGCCUACCAAGCCGACGAUCCAUAGCUGGUUUGAGGGGAUGAUCAGCCUCACUGGGACUGAGACACGGCCCAGACUCCUACGGGAGGCAGCAGUGGGGAAUCUUAGACAAUGGGGGAAACCCUGAUCUAGCCAUGCCGCGUGAUCGAUGAAGGCCUUAGGGUUGUAAAGAUCUUUCAGUUGGGAAGAUAAUGACGGUACCAACAGAAGAAGCCCCGGCUAACUCCGUGCCAGCAGCCGCCGUAAUAC